UUUACUUGUUGUUUUCUUUUCAGAAAUAUUCCUAUUAGUUAGCUAAGAAUUUUACCAUGUCUGUUGCUAUCAUGGAGUGUUACUUGCUAUUUUACCUUUCCAAACAAUUAAGUUAUGUUACAAUGGUGAAAUUUACAUGGUACUAUUUCUUGCAGUUAUGGCUAUACCUAGAUAAAAUGUAUACUAUUUUCUCUCAAGUUUGAACCUGUUUUUUUUGACAUAUUCUGUGAAUUUGAUUUCAGGAAAAUAUGAACUCUUUUUCUCAGUUAUAACUCUGUACAUAUUACUCUCAAGUAUGACACAAUGAAAGCAUAGGAGUCAAUCUAGGUGCAUUUUUAUGCGUUGUUCCGUUGCUUAGAGAAUGGCUACCCUUUUUCCCCUUUAUUUCUAUGUGUGUGAGUAUUUAGUGACAGAUGCAGCAGCAUGCAGUUUUAGGCACCUAGGGUGUAUGUUAAGCAGGAUGGUAUAGAUCGGUGCAUUCCAUCUUCUGUGAUUUUUCCAUCUUGUUGCCUUUCUAUUUGCUUAUAAUGAUAUAAAUAUAACUUGUGGUAAUUUGAGCCAGAGUUAUAUAUGAUGACUUCAGAAAAGUUGAGCUCCGGUUUUAUUAGUUUGAUACUCAGUUUGACCCCUUCAUCAAUUUGAUACUCAGUUUGCAUCAACUUAUGCUCUAUAUGAUAAUUUUUUUAGGUAGACAAAAUAGGAUUGACCCCUUUUAAUUAACAUUUAUCAUACCUCCUUAGGUUCAAUGUUUCCACCAGGUAAAUUGUAUCUGCAGUUUUCUGUUUUACUUGCUUCCCUUUGUUGCAUAUGUGUAGUUCUGUCAUGGUAAUAUGAAAUUGUCUCUGUUGGAGUUAACUAUCAAUUGCACAAGCAGGGCAGAACACCAUCUAUGGAAAGAUCAAGAAGCUUGAAGCAGAGGUUGUGUGCUACAGCAGAAGGUCAAGAAGACAGACGCAUUUGCUAUAAGGAGUAGAUCAAAGAAGACAAUUCCAUGCCUCGUGCAGUCAUGUUGGAGGCCGUGAAGGCACGAGCCAUGAGUGCCCUCGUUCCUCAAGCAGCAGAGGAUAGUUCAUCAGACUCCUUACGCCUAAAUCCAAUGAAGUGUGCAGCAGAGAAGAGAAGAAACGAUUGCUCCUGACUUCCUUAGCAUAUUCUUAAGGCUUUAAGUGUUAGUAUUUUAUGUUUUUAUUUUUUAUAUAUUUUCUAAGUGUUAGUAUUGUGGCAUUAUUUUUUUCUUGCAAUACACGGGCAUUUACCUAUUUAUACAUAUAAUCGAACCUAUGUACAAGAUGGUAUCGAGAUACGGCGAAACUUAUUCAUGAA